rnacentral:rRNA from 1 species
UACGUAGGGUGCGAGCGUUGUCCGGAAUUAUUGGGCGUAAAGGGCUCGUAGGCGGUCUGUCGCGUCGGGAGUGAAAACUCAGGGCUUAACCCUGAGCCUGCUUCCGAUACGGGCAGACUAGAGGUAUGCAGGGGAGAACGGAAUUCCUGGUGUAGCGGUGGAAUGCGCAGAUAUCAGGAGGAACACCGGUGGCGAAGGCGGGUCUCUGGGCCGAAACUGACGCUGAGGAGCGAAAGCGUGGGGAUCAAACAGG